AUUGAACGCUGGCGGCAGGCCUAACACAUGCAAGUCGAACGGUAACAGGGAUCAGCUUGCUGAUUCGCUGACGAGUGGCGGACGGGUGAGUCAUGUCUGGGAAACUGCCUGAUGGAGGGGGAUAACUACUGGAAACGGUAGCUAAUACCGCAUAACGUCGCAAGACCAAAGAGGGGGACCUUCGGGCCUCUUGCCAUCGGAUGUGCCCAGAUGGGAUUAGCUAGUAGGUGGGGUAACGGCUCACCUAGGCGACGAUCCCUAGCUGGUCUGAGAGGAUGACCAGCCACACUGGAACUGAGACACGGUCCAGACUCCUACGGGAGGCAGCAGUGGGGAAUAUUGCACAAUGGGCGCAAGCCUGAUGCAGCCAUGCCGCGUGUAUGAAGAGGGCCUUCGGGUUGUAAAGUACUUUCAGCGGGGAGGAAGGGAGUAAAGUUAAUACCUUUGCUCAUUGACGUUACCCGCAGAAGAAGCACCGGCUAACUCCGUG
rnacentral:rRNA from 1 species